rnacentral:rRNA from 1 species
CGUAGGGUGCAAGCGUUGUCCGGAAUUAUUGGGCGUAAAGAGCUCGUAGGCGGUGUGUCGCGUCUGCUGUGAAAACUCAGGGCUCAACUCUGAGCUUGCAGUGGGUACGGGCACACUAGAGUGCUGUAGGGGAGACUGGAAUUCCUGGUGUAGCGGUGAAAUGCGCAGAUAUCAGGAGGAACACCGGUGGCGAAGGCGGUCUCUGGGCAGUUACUGACGCUGAGGAGCGAAAGCAUGGGAGCGAACAGGAUU